rnacentral:lncRNA from 1 species
GUCGAUGGAGCGAUGACUGAGGGCUAGCUUCCUCUGCUUCCUUCAAUCAGCGACUCCCAAUGAAGCGACAUCCAGGCACAAGGCAUGUCAUACCACUGGUUAUGGAUGCAUGCCGCUUAGACAGUGUCCGUUGCGGUACUGGGUGCUCUCCCGCCAUGGCUGUCGAAUCGGUUCUGUCUGCUGCAACCUGGGGGCAAUGAACGCCUGCCCAUUGGCUGGAGGGUCUUGUGAAUUCGAUUGUAGAAAAUAUAUCGAAAAUAUCAAGUGCCCGGGAAAGAAGAAGUGCUGCGAAGGUAUGCUUUCGUAAGAAGAGGAUAUCACUGCAUCGAAGCUCAUCAGAUUUAGCACCACUGUUUUGCGGAAGCGCUCUGUACGACAUUCUUCUCUCUCGGCUAGUCAUGUGAAGCGUGA